rnacentral:rRNA from 1 species
AGAGUUUGAUCCUGGCUCAGGAUGAACGCUGGCUGUAUGCCUAACACAUGCAAGUCGUACGAAAGUUUUUAACUUUAGUGGCGGACGGGUGAGUAACACGUGAGAAUUUGCCUUUAGGAGGGGGACAACAAUUGGAAACGAAUGCUAAUACCCCAUAUGCUUUCGAGUGAAAUGGAUUUAUAUUUAUCCGCCUAGAGAGAAGCUCGCGGCUGAUUAGCUUGUUGGUAAGGUAAGAGCUUACCAAGGCGACGAUCAGUAUCUGGUUUGAGAGGACGACCAGACACACUGGAACUGAGACACGGUCCAGACUCCUACGGGAGGCAGUAGUGGGGAAUUUUCCGCAAUGGGCGAAAGCCUGACGGAGCAAUACAGCGUGAGGGAAGACUGCCUAUGGGUUGUAAACCUCUUUUUUCAGGGAGGAAUAAAUGACGUGUACCUGAAGAAUAAGCAUCGGCUAACUCCGUGCCAGCAGCCGCGGUAAGACGGAGGAUGCAAGUGUUAUCCGGAAUCACUGGGCGUAAAGCGUCUGUAGGUGGUUUAAUAAGUCAACUGUUAAAUCUUGAGGCUCAACUUCAAAAUCGCAGUCGAAACUAUUAGACUAGAGUAUAGUAGAGGUAAAGGGAAUUUCCAGUGGAGCGGUGAAAUGCGUAGAUAUUGGAAAGAACACCGAUGGCGAAAGCACUUUACUGGGCUAUUACUAACACUCAGAGACGAAAGCUAGGGUAGCAAAUGGGAUUAGAUACCCCAGUAGUCCUAGCCGUAAACUAUGGAUACUAGAUGU